rnacentral:rRNA from 1 species
AGACCCGAAACCCGGUGAUCUAGCCAUGGGCAGGUUGAAGGUUGGGUAACACUAACUGGAGGACCGAACCGACUAAUGUUGAAAAAUUAGCGGAUGACCUGUGGCUGGGGGUGAAAGGCCAAUCAAACCGGGAGAUAGCUGGUUCUCCCCGAAAGCUAUUUAGGUAGCGCCUCGUGAAUUCAUCUCCGGGGGUAGAGCACUGUUUCGGCUAGGGGGCCAUCCCGGCUUACCAACCCGAUGCAAACUGCGAAUACCGGAGAAUGUUAUCACGGGAGACACACGGCGGGUGCUAACGUCCGUCGUGAAGAGGGAAACAACCCAGACCGCCAGCUAAGGUCCCAAAGUCAUGGUUAAGUGGGAAACGAUGUGGGAAGGCCCAGACAGCCAGGAUGUUGGCUUAGAAGCAGCCAUCAUUUAAAGAAAGCGUAAUAGCUCACUGGUCGAGUCGGCCUGCGCGGAAGAUGUAACGGGGCUAAACCAUGCACCGAAGCUGCGGCAGCGACACUGUGUGUUGUUGGGUAGGGGAGCGUUCUGUAAGCCUGCGAAGGUGUGUCGUGAGGCAUGCUGGAGGUAUCAGAAGUGCGAAUGCUGACAUAAGUAACGAUAAAGCGGGUGAAAAGCCCGCUCGCCGGAAGACCAAGGGUUCCUGUCCAACGUUAAUCGGGGCAGGGUGAGUCGACCCCUAAGGCGAGGCCGAAAGGCGUAGUCGAUGGGAAACGGGUUAAUAUUCCCGUACUUGGUGUUACUGCGAAGGGGGGACGGAGAAGGCUAUGUUGGCCGGGCGACGGUUGUCCCGGUUUAAGCGUGUAGGCUGGUUUUCCAGGCAAAUCCGG